rfam:Ovis aries breed Texel chromosome 6, whole genome shotgun sequence.
UCCCUGGUGGUUCAGAGGGUAAAGCGUCUGCCUGCAAUGCAGGAGACCCGGGUUCGAUCCCUGGGUCCGGAA